rnacentral:rRNA from 1 species
GACGGAGGAUGCAAGUGUUAUCCGGAAUCACUGGGCGUAAAGCGUCUGUAGGUGGUUUAAUAAGUCAACUGUUAAAUCUUGAGGCUCAACCUCAAAAUCGCAGUCGAAACUAUUAGGCUAGAGUAUAGUAGGGGUAAAGGGAAUUUCCAGUGGAGCGGUGAAAUGCGUAGAGAUUGGAAAGAACACCGAUGGCGAAGGCGGGUCUCUGGGCCGUAACUGACGCUGAGGAGCGAAAGCAUGGGGAGCGAACAGG